AGUGAACGCUGGCGGUAGGCCUAACACAUGCAAGUCGAACGGCAGCACAGAGGAGCUUGCUCCUUGGGUGGCGAGUGGCGGACGGGUGAGGAAUACAUCGGAAUCUACUCUGUCGUGGGGGAUAACGUAGGGAAACUUACGCUAAUACCGCAUACGACCUACGGGUGAAAGCAGGGGACCUUCGGGCCUUGCGCGAUUGAAUGAGCCGAUGUCGGAUUAGCUAGUUGGCGGGGUAAAGGCCCACCAAGGCGACGAGCCGUAGCUGGUCUGAGAGGAUGAACAGCCACACUGGAACUGAGACACGGUCCAGACUCCUACGGGAGGCAGCAGUGGGGAAUAUUGGACAAUGGGCGCAAGCCUGAUCCAGCCAUACCGCGUGGGUGAAGAAGGCCUUCGGGUUGUAAAGCCCUUUUGUUGGGAAAGAAAUCCAGCUGGCUAAUACCCGGUUGGGAUGACGGUACCCAAAGAAUAAGCACUGGCUAACUUCGUGCCAGCCGCCGCCGUAA
rnacentral:rRNA from 1 species